UAAUACGUAGGGGGCAAGCGUUGUCCGGAGUUACUGGGCGUAAAGCGCACGCAGGCGGUCGCGUAAGAGUGCGGGGACAGUGGGCGGCUUAACUGCCCAAGAGUCGCACAGACUGCGUGACUAGAGGGCCAGAGAGGGACCUGGAAUUCCGGGUGGAGCGGUGAAAUGCGUAGAGAUCCGGAGGAACACCAAUGGCGAAGGCAGGGUCCUGGCUGGCACCUGACGCUGAUGUGCGAAAGCCAGGGGAGCGAACGGGAUUAGAUACCCCGGUAGUCCUGGCCGUAAACGAUGACCACCAGACGUGGGAGGUAUCGACCCCUUCCGUGUCGUAGUUAACACGAUCAGUGGUCCGCCUGGGGAGUACGGUCGCAAGAUUA
rnacentral:rRNA from 1 species